UACGGAGGGGGCUAGCGUUGUUCGGAAUUACUGGGCGUAAAGCGCACGUAGGCGGAUCAGCAAGUUAGGGGUGAAAUCCCGGGGCUCAACCCCGGAACUGCCUUUAAGACUGUUGGUCUGGAGUCCGAGAGAGGUGAGUGGAAUUCCGAGUGUAGAGGUGAAAUUCGUAGAUAUUCGGAGGAACACCAGUGGCGAAGGCGGCUCACUGGCUCGGUACUGACGCUGAGGUGCGAAAGCGUGGGGAGCAACAGGG
rnacentral:rRNA from 1 species